rnacentral:rRNA from 1 species
UACAGAGGUAUCAAGCGUUGUUCGGAUUCAUUGGGCGUAAAGGGCGCGUAGGCGGCGAGGAAAGUCGGGUGUGAAAUCUCGGAGCUUAACUCCGAAACUGCAUUCGAUACUGCCGUGCUUGAGGACUGGAGAGGAGACUGGAAUUCAUGGUGUAGCAGUGAAAUGCGUAGAGAUCGUGAGGAAGACCAGUGGCGAAGGCGGGUCUCUGGACAGUUCCUGACACUGAGACACGAAGGCCAGGGGAGCAAACGGG